rnacentral:rRNA from 1 species
UACGGGGGGGGCAAGCGUUGUCCGGAUUUAUUGGGCGUAAAGCGUGCGUAGGCGGCUGCGCAAGUCGGUUGUGAAACCCCGGGGCUCAACCCCGGAACUGCAUCCGAUACUGCGUGGCUAGAGGUAGGUAGGGGAGAUCGGAAUUCCUGGUGUAGCGGUGAAAUGCGCAGAUAUCAGGAGGAACACCGGUGGCGAAGGCGGAUCUCUGGGCCUUACCUGACGCUCAGGCACGAAAGCUAGGGGAGCGAGCAGG